GUUAUCUAGAUUUUUUUUCCUUAUGUUAUCUUCUAGAAGUUUGAAAAUUUUACAUUUCAUAUAUUGGUCUAAUAUCUACUUUGCAUUAACUUUUGUAAAAAGUAUAAGGUCUGUUACAUAUUCUUUUUUUUUUUGCAUGUGGAUGCCCACUUGUUCCAGAACCAUUUGUUAAAAAGACUCUCCUUUCUCCAUUGAAUUGCUUUUGCUCCUUUGUCAGAAAUCAGUUGGCUGCAUUUCAUUCUGUUUCUGGGUUCUCUGUUCUGUUUCACUGAUGUAUGUGUAUGUGUCUUCUGUUUUGCCUUCAAUUUAAAAAAUAUCUAAAUAUCUACUUGCUACCUCAAUUUGCUGAUGAAUUCUCAUUUGUAAACAGAAAAGCAUAAAUUAAAGCCUGAGUAUCUUUUGGGGUAGAUGUUGCAUUGAAUACAAUGAGCAGAAUGAGUUAUAAUCUUAAAGUGAAUAUAAAAAUUUGACCAUAGUGGUAACAGAUUUGUGCACUAGUGACAUCAAUGACAGAGUCCAUUGCAAUAUUGCUUCCUCCCAUAGGCUCAGCUCUGCUUCACACCAGGUAACUACCAGUCCCUUUUGUGCUUCAUUCAAGGAUUUCUGUGGGGCGGAAAGCAGAAAUAUCAUGAGCUCAGUGGAGAGAGAGAAGGCAGUUUUCCAGGCUGGGAGCAGUCAGAUCUCCAGUGGGUCCCAACACUGCUCUGUAGCAAUGCCUAGAAGGUGAUGGAAACAGGGUGAACAUGAGGAGUAUCAAGUCCAAAAUGAAGCUCUUCAAACCAUCUGGGAAGAGAAAACAGCAUGACAAGGAAAGGUGUAUUUGUCUGAUCCCAGUAAUCAAUAUAAACAUCAAUGAUAACCCCACCUAUUUUUUUAAAUGUAUGAUUUGGAUGAAACAAGAGAAAGAGACUGAUUGUUGCUGAGUCCCUGCUGCAGUCCUGACACAGCUCUCCUUAUUUUGUUGAUGCUCAUGAGGACCCUGAUGUCUGAGGAAGAAGGUUCCCGUCCAGCUCUGCCCCUGGUGUGUCACAUGCCGGCCUUGUCAACGCACACGAGAACCUGACAGGAAAUACAGAUUUUCCUGGCACUGACAACUGCAAGAAAUUUCACUUGGAGUCUCCACAUAGUCAACCAUGUGAUGUUAACAUCAGUGUAAUAGAUACUAUCACAAACAUCCUGUGACUUUUAUAUUUUUUUUGUACUUUAAGUUCUGAUACAUGAGCAGAACGUGCA
rnacentral:lncRNA from 1 species